CAGUGGGGCCCUGGCACGGGCCCUCCUGCUCGCUUUAUCUCACUUAAAACGUGAGAAAAAAAAUGCACACACUUAGGGCUAUGGGAGCAAGGAAAGGAGAGCAUUCUCUGCCUGGGGAGCGGGGCGUCCCGGGGGCUCCCCGGACAGACCCUUCCAGAGCCACCAGGCCACCCCCACCGCACACGCAAGGAAGCCAGGCAAAGGCACAGAGAGGUUAAGGGCUCUGUCCCAGACCACACAGCCGUCAGGAGCACGGCCGGCGCUCAGACCAGGAGUCAACCGGCCACUAACUGUGACUCGACCUCUCUGAACCUCUGUUUCUCGAUCCACGGAAGGGGACAACAGCGCAAGAGCGCGCAGGGCUCCUGGGGAGCAGCGCCGGCCCCCAGGGUCGCGGCCGCCC
rnacentral:lncRNA from 1 species